rnacentral:rRNA from 1 species
UCUUCGGAAGCGGACUGAUCUGACUGAGUGGCGGACGGGUGAGUAACGCGUGGGUAACCUGCCUUUAUCAGGGGGAUAACGCAUCGAAAGAUGUGCUAAUACCGCGUAAGACCACAGCUUCACAUGGAGCGGGGGUCAAAGGAGCAAUCCGGAUAAAGAUGGGCUCGCGUCCGAUUAGCUAGUUGGUGAGAUAACAGCCCACCAAGGCGACGAUCGGUAGCCGGCCUGAGAGGGUGACCGGCCACAUUGGGACUGAGACACGGCCCAAACUCC